rnacentral:other from 1 species
AGGUAAACAUAUGUAGCAAAAGAUGGGUUCCUGCUGUUUGAAAAGCAAUUGUUUUA